UACGUAGGGGGCUAGCGUUGUCCGGAUUUACUGGGCGUAAAGGGCGCGUAGGCGGCGCAACAAGUCACUUGUGAAAUCUCCGGGCUUAACCCGGAGCGGUCAAGUGAUACUGUCGUGCUAGAGUGCGGAAGGGGCUACUGGAAUUCUCGGUGUAGCGGUGAAAUGCGUAGAUAUCAGGAGGAACACCCGGGGCGAAGGCGGUUCUCUGGGACGGUACUGACGCUGAGACGCGAAAGCGUGGGGAGCGAACAGG
rnacentral:rRNA from 1 species